rnacentral:rRNA from 1 species
GACGAACGCUGGCGGCGUGCUUAACACAUGCAAGUCGAACGGAAAGGCCUGCUUUCCCUUGUGGAUUGCGGGUACUCGAGUGGCGAACGGGUGAGUAACACGUGAGUGAUCUGCCCCCAACUUGGGUAUAAGCCUGGGAAACUGGGUCUAAUUCCCGAUAGGACUGCAGGGUGGUGCCUGUGGUGGAAAACGAUUUUCUAGUGGUUGGGGAUGAGCUCGCGGCCUAUCAGCUUGUUGGUGGGGUAAUGACCUACCAAGGCGGCGACGGGUAGCCGGCCUGAGAGGGUGGACGGCCACAUUGGGACUGAGAUACGGCCCAGACGCCUACGGGAGGCAGCAGUGGGGAAUAUUGCACAAUGGGCGGAAGCCUGAUGCAGCGACGCCGCGUGGGGGAUGACGGCCUUCGGGUGGUAAACUCCUUUCGACCGCGAGGAAGCCACCUGGUUGGAAGGGUGGUGACGGUAGUGGUAGAAGAAGCACCGGCUAACUACGUG